rnacentral:lncRNA from 1 species
UCACCAUCUUCAUCCAUCUACAAUCUUCAAUGGCCAUGGCUGCACAAGCUUCUCUCUUCACCCCAACGCUCUCAAACCCUGUUUCUCCAUGGAAACAGUCCUCCUUCACCGCCGUGAAGCAGCUCAAGCUCACCUCCCGUACCUUCACCAUCAAGGCAGCAGCCGAAGAGGUUGCCACCCCCACUAAAGAAGCUCCAGUUGGAUUCACCCCACCGGAACUCGACCCCAACACCCCAUCUCCCAUCUUCGCUGGAAGCACCGGUGGAUUGCUCCGAAAAGCUCAGGUGGAGGAGUUCUACGUCAUCACAUGGGAAUCCCCCAAGGAGCAGAUCUUCGAGAUGCCGACGGGAGGCGCUGCGAUCAUGAGGGAAGGACCUAAUCUAUUGAAAUUGGCGAGGAAGGAGCAGUGUUUGGCUUUGGGAACUAGAUUGAGGUCGAAAUACAAGAUCAAGUAUCAGUUCUACAGGGUGUUCCCAAAUGGUGAAGUACAGUAUUUGCACCCUAAAGAUGGGGUUUACCCGGAAAAGGUGAACGCCGGCCGACAAGGUGUGGGUCAAA